rnacentral:rRNA from 1 species
UACGUAGGGUGCGAGCGUUAAUCGGAAUUACUGGGCGUAAAGCGUGCGUAGGCGGUUCGUUAAGUGCGUCGUGAAAGCCCCGGGCUCAACCUGGGAAUGGCGAUGGAAACUGGCGGGCUGGAGUAUGGCAGAGGGGGUGGAAUUCCGCGUGUAGCAGUGAAAUGCGUAGAGAUGCGGAGGAACACCGAUGGCGAAGGCAGCCCCCUGGGCCAAUACUGACGCUCAGGCACGAAAGCGUGGGGAGCAAACAGG